GAAAUGCGAUAAGUAGUGUGAAUUGCAGAAUUCAGUGAAUCAUCGAAUCUUUGAACGCACAUUGCGCCCUUUGGUAUUCCUUAGGGCAUGCCUGUUCGAGCGUCAUCUAAACCUUCAAGCCCUGCUUGGUGUUGGGUGCCUGUCCCGCCUCCGCGCGCGGACUCACCUCAAAUCCAUUGGCGGCCCCCGCGUCGGCCACGAGCGCAGCAGAAACGCGAACUCGUGAGCCCGUCCGGGCGGCUCCCAGAAGCUACACCCACCCAGUUUGACCUCGGAUCAGGUAGGGAUACCUGCUGAACUUAAGC
rnacentral:misc_RNA from 1 species